rnacentral:rRNA from 1 species
UACAGAGGGUGCAAGCGUUAAUCGGAAUUACUGGGCGUAAAGCGUGUGUAGGUGGUUUGCUAAGUCAGGUGUGAAAUCCCUGGGCUCAACCUAGGAAUUGCAUUUGAUACUGGCAGGCUAGAGUGUGGUAGAGGAUAGUGGAAUUCCCGGUGUAGCGGUGAAAUGCGUAGAUAUCGGGAGGAACAUCAGUGGCGAAGGCGGCUAUCUGGCCCGGUACUGACGCUGAGGUGCGAAAGCGUGGGGAGCAAACAGG